rnacentral:rRNA from 1 species
CAGCAGCCGCGGGAAUACGUAGGGUGCGAGCGUUAAUCGGAAUUACUGGGCGUAAAGCGUGCGCAGGCGGUUGUGUAAGACAGGUGUGAAAUCCCCAGGCUUAACCUGGGAACUGCGCUUGUGACUGCACAGCUAGAGUAUGGCAGAGGGGGGUGGAAUUCCACGUGUAGCAGUGAAAUGCGUAGAGAUGUGGAGGAACACCGAUGGCGAAGGCAGCCCCCUGGGCCAAUACUGACGCUCAUGCACGAAAGCGUGGGGAGCAAACAGGAUUAGAUACCCCCGUAGUCCCUGUCUCUUAUAC